GUGAAUGAAAUAUUUAGAUUCUCCUAGGACAGUUACAUACAGCCAUGCACUCCAGCUAUGAAAGGUUUGGUGCCUACUCUCCUCUCUUACUGGGCCUGGCUGAUGAGAACAUCAUAAACACACCCUUAUUACAACACUGGAGUAGUCUUUGUGUUUGAAUCCCCAACAUCCCAUCCUCUCCUCCAAGGAAUUACUUUGACCCGAACCUGUUAAUUUCAUUCCUCUUUGUAGUGGUUGGUUUAGGGAUGGGCUUGUGACCCACUGCUAGCCUUUGCUCUGUGGAGGGGAGUAUGCUGGUGUCUCCUGGGAACACUACCUUCUUCCCAGGAAGAGAAGAAAGAUCUCCUUUUUUGUAUCUAGGUGUGGCCCAUGGAAAUACUGUAGACACCUCACUACAUCUAAAGAUGAAAGCAAUACAAGACAUUUAUGAAGACUUGCCAAAGAAACAAUGGGACAACCAGGUUGAGAAAGACAAGUUAAAUCUCUCGUUUUGUUAAUUCUGAUUGGAGAAGCUUUACUCACAUCCUCUGUUUCUCUCCUAUGAGGUCUUUCUAGGAAGCAAUGAAGCCUGGGGCUUAGAGCAGAACUCAGGUGUCAUCAAUAGCUAUUAAUGGAACGAAGACUCAUCUCCCUCAGACUCACACAGGAUAUGCAGCUCUUCACUAUAAAAUGGUCCAGGUUUUCUGCAUCUGCCUCUUAGUAAACUUGUGUGACUGCCCAAUAAAUUUCCACACGCCCAAUAUUCUCCCCUUCUCCCUUUCUCUCCUUUCCCCUCCCUUCC
ensembl:lincRNA